GACUUGCACUCUUUGGUUUCCGGCUCAGUUCCGGCGACUACGCGCGGUCGGUUUGCAGGAGACCAGCGCUGCACGUGGAGAGCUGCUUGGCUCUCGCGACUUCGCCCACCCGACCCGCAUGUUCGAAGAGCCGGAGUGGGCCGAGGAGGCCCCAGUAGCCACAGGCCUCGAACCUGUAGCGGCACGGCCUCGGCCUGCCGCAGCCUCGCAAAUCAAGGGCUCCAAGCACCGUCAGCUCUUGGCCACGUUACGGGCCCUGGAGGCAGCAGCUCUUCCCCAGCAAUCUCCUAGCCUGCCUGGCAGUGAUUCUGAGGAGGAGGUAGUGGAAAGGAAGAAGAAACACUCAAAAAAGGCCUCAUUUUCCAAUGUUUCUAUUGGAGUAGAGAAGAAGAGGAAGAAGAAAUGUCAGAAACAGGGCCCACCUGGCAGUGACUCUGAAGAAGAGGAAGUAGAAAGGAAGAAAAAGUGCCUCAAAGGGGUUUUUAAUGCCAGUGACUCUGCUGAAGAAGAGAAAAGGAAGAGGAAACACCAGAAACAGGUCCGCUCAAACCCUGCCCAGCACCUGGACAAUGAUGACCAAACAGGUCCCAAAGCUUGGAAGAGUAGAGAUACAAAUGACCUAUCCCAGCCAAGCGCUGGGACCACUUCUGCCAACCCCUCCCACAUCUUGAGUCGCAAGCAGUGGCGGAACCGGCAAAAGAAUAAACGUAGGCAUAAGAAUAAGUUUCGGCCACCUCAGCCACCAGACCAGGCUCCAGCCACAGUCUCCACAGAGGAGACAGAGAUGCCUCCUGACCCCAGUCCACACAGCCCUGAGGAUCGGGCGGGGGCUCUGCGAGCCCGCAUGGCACAACGGCUGGAUGGUGCUCGAUUUCGUUACCUCAACGAACAGCUAUACUCAGGGCCUAGCAGUGCUGCACAACGUCUCUUCCAGGAAGACCCUGAGGCCUUUCUCCUCUACCAUCGCGGCUUCCAGAGCCAAGUCAAGAAGUGGCCACUGCAGCCAGUGGACCGCAUUGCCAGAGAUCUUCGCCAGCGGCCUGCGUCCCUGGUGGUAGCUGACUUCGGCUGCGGGGACUGCCGCCUGGCUUCAAGUAUCCGGAACCCUGUACACUGCUUUGACUUGGCCUCUCUGGACCCCAGGGUCACUGUGUGUGACAUGGCCCAGGUGCCUCUGGAGGAUGAGUCUGUGGAUGUGGCUGUGUUCUGCCUUUCACUGAUGGGAACCAACAUCAGGGACUUCCUAGAGGAGGCAAAUAGAGUGCUGAAGCCAGGGGGUCUUCUGAAAGUGGCUGAAGUCAGUAGCCGUUUUGAAGAUGUUCGGACUUUUCUGGGGGCUGUGACCAAACUGGGCUUCAAAGUCAUCUCCAAGGAUCUUACCAACAGCCACUUCUUCCUGUUUGACUUUGAAAAGACUGGGCCUCCUCGGGUCGGUCCCAAGGCUCAACUCACAGGCCUGAAACUUCAGCCAUGUCUCUACAAGCGCAGGUGACCUCUGGGGCCCCCUUGAAAGGGAGGCAAGUCUCGAACUCCAGGCUCAGAACUCUGAAGACUGUAUCCAGCCAGGCUCUGACCCAAGAACGGGGUCAGAAAGAGGAUGUGUGGGAAGAGACCAUGCAGGAUUGCUGUGUAGAGAGCUUAUUGUGAGACAGCACAGCUGGACUGUCAGGACCCGCCCCCUCACCUCAGCUCUGACUGUGGACUCCACUGGGACCAUUCAGGAAGCUUGAGGUAUUUAUUCUUUGGGCCUGCUGAGGAAUGAUGAACUUGGAGUCUGACUCCUGCCCCAGGAAUGUAGAGGGCAAGCAGAGCUCACUGACUGCUUCAGUGGUGGGGCCAGGGGAGUGCUGCAGCUUUUGCAGGCCUGUGUUCCCAGAAGUUGCCGUAGCAAACGAUGCAUGUGCAUCCUGUGCACCUUGCAAGAGAGAGGGAAGCAUGGGGUGGUCUUGGGCCCUGUCCAGUAGGACCAUUUGAGGAGGCAAGGAGACCUCAGCGCAAAGAAGGUAGGUGUAUGCCAUGUGGGCUGAGGGAGUUGCUGGAGACCACCCACUAAUGCUCCGCCCCCUAAUAUGUGACCCCUCCAGGGUCAAGGGGAUAGCUGGGAUAUCCCCUUUAAGUAUCCGGAUACCCAGAUACCUGGGUGGCUGGGUGGCUCAGUCGGUUAAACGGCUGACUGCGGCUCAGGUCAUGAUCUCAGUAUUCGUGAGCUUGAGCCUUGCAUCAGGCUCUGUGCUGACAGCUUGGAGCCUGGAGCCUGCUUCGGAUUCUGUGUCUCCCUUUCUCUGACCCUCCCCUGCUUGUCUCUGUGUGUUUCUCCCUCAAAAAUAAACAUUUAAAAAUUUGAAUAAAUAAGUAAAUAUCUGCCAAGCCCCUCAGGCACAGAAUCGCCUAGUCCAGCAGGAACUUUAUCCCCUUUCUCAACCCUUCCUUCUCUGCAGCUAUUAGGUAGAGAGGAGGUGAGAAGAGCCGAGAGCACACAGAUUAGUCUCCUCCUCCCCAACUCAGCCUCCUUGAGACAUAGUAAGUGGGGCAGAGCUGGGAGGGGAAGACGGUUAAAGCUCCAGUGGGUGCACAUUAUUUAUUGUUACCUAGGGUUAGAUAUACUAAUUGCUUGAGAUGAAGAGGAGGUGAGAAGAGCAGAGAACACACAGAUUAUUCCUAUUAUUUCUCUUCUCCCCAGCUCAGGCUCAUUGAGACAUAGUAGAUGGGGAAGAGCUGGGAGGGGAAGGUGGCUAAAGCUCCAAGUGGGUGCACAUUAUUUACAGUUACCUAGGGUUAGAUAUUCUAAUUGCUUGAGAUCGCAUAAGACCGUUAACUAAGAAUAAGCUGAAAAGUCACGGGCUUGCUGCAGCUUACCUCCACAGCAGGGAAAGAGUGUCCCCAAAUGAAAAUGCUUUGGAGGGGUGGUGAGAGACAAGAAUAAGCUUGGGUUUGGAUGGCAGUCUGUGUCUUGUGCUUGUUCAGCAUGCCUUUGAGAGGUUUCUUGCUACUGCAGUUUUUGGUGUGCUCCAGCUCUUGUUCCUGUAACACAGUCCUACGGAACACGGUUCCAAAGGAAACAACAUGAUCUUGGCAGAGACACAGCUUAGCUCCAAACACUCAGCCAUUUACAUAAAUGCACAGAGCCCUUUACAGCUUUUCACAGAGACCCACAAUAGUGUUUUUUUUAUCCCCAGGUGGCCCUCCUUCCCAGAUGACUUCUCAGACUGGCCACCUGUUUCUAGGAUAUUCAACUACUGUAGCAAUUGCCUUAUUGGUCUAAUUCCAUCACUCCUGCCCCCAAAGCAAUUUGUUUCCCACACAGCCAAGUGAUGUUUUUAAAAUGUAAAUCAGAUAUGUCAUUUCUCUGCUUAAAAUCCUUCAAUGGGUUCUCAGUGCUCUGAGAACAAAAGACAGACUCGCUCCCAGGCCCUGUGUGAUCUUGCUCAGGCCUUGCUCUCCAACUGCAUCUUAACCCACUCCUUCCUCACAAGACUCCAGCCACGCAAGCUUUCUUUUCAUUCCUCUAGCAUUCCAAGCCAUUCCUGCUGGGUCUUUACACAUGCUGCUCUAUCUUUUUACAGUACUUUUUGUGAUGAGCUCAUUUUCAUCUUCCAGAUCUUCACACCAAAUCCCCGUUUCUUCUUUGGAAGAAACUGGCUAGAUGCUCACCAAAAUGUCCUUUUUAUGGACACAUAGCUAACUAUGUUUCCCAGCUCCUUGCAUCAAGGCGGGGCUAUUGUCUUCGCCAAUGGAAAGUAAGUAGGAGUAAUGCUUUACUACCAGACCAAGGCAAUUAAAGAGUGGAUGAGCCUUCUCCACAUUCUCCCAUCCCCUCUUCUGCCUUCCUGGGUGAGCUUGAAGCAUAUGUUUUAAAGACUGUGGAGUCAAUUGCUUGGAGGAAAUCUGCUUGACCAAGAACAUCCAUCCACAUUGGACUUUUCAACAAAAAUAAACCUCUAUUGCAUUAAGUUACUGAGCUUUGGGAAGGUUACAGAAGUUAGUAUUAUAUACUCUGGCUAAUAUAUCUUUUCUGGGCAUCCUGUCCACCUUGCUCUUGACCACAAAACCUUUUUUUUGUUUCCCUCAGGGUGCUUCAAACAUGUAAUUAUCUUACCAGAUGCCAGUCAACACUCCUACCUAUCCUAUAACUUUGAAUCUUAAUUGAGAAAAAAACGUCCACGUGAGGAAGUUGAGAUACUCAUUUUAUCAGUUGCAUUUUGAUUGUGACCAGAAAAAAAAAUCCCACUGAAGAAUGUCCUAAACAAAUUAGAUUUUUUUCUUCUACUAUACUUAGAAACCUGAAGGUAGAUGGCUGCUGUCAGUGGUUUAGGAAUUCAAGGAUGUUAAGUUUUAGGUCUUUGUUGCUCUUGGUGUCUUGAUUCUAAUGGUUACAAGAUGAUGUGUUCUUGAUUAGUCGGGGACACCCUACUUACUGUUACACUUCUUGCGAGUCUUGUUGAUUGCCACAGCCCCUACCUUUUUGGCUUUACUUCAAGGGUCCUUCUAUGUUAUUAAUACUCUGGUAUAAAUAUGUUUCAUUAUUCCCUACAACAUAAUUGAGGCCAAUUUAAAAUAUUAACAUUUUCUUUUCUAUCUUUAUUUUUUUGAAUUUUAUAUUAAGUAGGCUUCAUACCCAGUGUGGAGCUUGAACUCAAGACCCUGAGAUUAAGAGUCACAUGCUCUACCAACUGAGCCGUCAGGUGCCCCUAAAAUAUUAACAUUUUUAAAUAUAUUUGUCUCCCAUACCCCUUCCCACACCUCAGUGAUCUAUUAGCAACUUACCCAGUUUGAAGCUGUUCUUCCUCCAGCCCAGUGGGGUGGGGAAGCAUGGUCUUUAUUUCAUUCGUUACCUCCUCUGUCACUUAGGAUUGGGAUGGGGAGGACACACUAGAGGAGAAAAAGGUAAACACCAUCAGUGUGCUCUACUAAGACAGGCACUUCUUUAAAUGUUGGCUCUCAUGUGGGGUAUUGGGGUUCUUUGGAGCCCCCCAGUAGGGACUUGUGCACUGGCUGGCUUUGCUGCUUAUUAUACAUAGCCCACACUCCCCCUCAGCUCUUCAGCUUCUGCCCCUGUCCAUGAAUCCAUAGCCUCCUAAUGCUAACAUCCCUAUCCCUGGCACAGGGGGAGGGGACCUGGGACAGUUUCCAACAAACACUUCAAGAUUGGUUCCCUUUCAGGGAGCCCACCAGAAACUCAUGCAUAUUUUUCCCACCAACACUGGCAGUGCAGCGCAGUUGGCAGCUGACCCCUCUCCCCUUGCUUGCCUCAGCCAGCCUGACUGACUUCUCCAUGUGAGAAGCACCAAUUUCUGUAUGCAUAUGGCUCCAAACCCUCAUAAGUGAUUCAGGUUGUAUUAACUCCCAAGAGGCCUCUGCCCCAGGCCCCACCUCAGUGGCCAUAUACAGAUGGCUCUAUUUCCUGAGUGUGGCAAGCCUCUAGCUCGAGAAUGUAAUCUGAAUGAAUGUAAAGCUUAUCCCCCUCAUGGAGACACAGAACUACUAUAAAUGGUUCUAUUAGAGCCCUCCUCACUUGAUUUAGGAUGCCUUUCAGGGGGGAAAAGUUCUCUAUUCCUAAAAAAAUUCCCAUCAAUGCAUCUUUCAUUUCUCACUUCAUAUACAGUAGAAGGUUUGAUGGUCUCUGGAUCAGCUUUAUUUUCUUAGAAUAAAUCCUAUGUGGAUGUAUCCAGUAUCUUUAUUUAGAAUGUGUCAGUGCCUAUUACCUAUGGUCUUCAGUCUUGGUGUAUUAUCCAAAGGUCUUAGACAACUGAAAAACUCAUUUAACAUCUUCUUUCUUAUGUACAUAUUCUUAGACAACGUGAACUUCGGGGCGCCUGGGUGGCUCAGUCGGUUGAGCGUCCAACUUCGGCUCAGGUCAUGAUCUCACGGUCCUGAGUUCGAUUCCCGCGUCGGGCUCUGUGCUGACAGUGCAGAGCCUGGAGCCUGUUUCGGAUUCUGUGUCUCCCUCUCUCUCUCUUACCCUCCCCCACUCAUGCUCUGUCUCUCUGUCUCAAAAAUAAAUUAAAAAAACGUUAAAAAAAUUAAAAAAAAAAAAGAAAACGUGAACUGCUUUAUUUAUAUAGAGUAUUACUGACAAUGUAUUCUUACUUUCCCUCCCUCCCUCAGCUCUGUUUUUAGUAUCCAUUCACGUAUCAAUCGGAGCCCUGUCGGGAAAAUGCAAAGCAUUUCAAGUAAAGGGCAUUUAUUGAGAAUUGAUUCCAAGUGUUGGAAGGAUGAAAGAAUAGGUCGAAGUUGCUGAUGUAAUUCAAAAAUUAACUGGAGAAUUCCGAGAGCAUCCCAAGUCCUGGGAAAACAAACAGGAAGAAGUGGUGUAAUCACCAGAAAUUAGGAGCUCAGAGAAAGACCCCCUUUUGACUGAUACUCACAUCUUUGUGGGGGAAGCUCCUUCUACAUACCUAGUGCUUGGACCUCUGAGGAAGGGAGUGACUGCCUGUCUGCUUCUACAAUCUGACAAAUGCGGCAAAGCUGCUGCUGAGUGCAGAAGCAGCUAAUAGCUGGAGCCAGCUGCCUGCAGCUGAAGUAAUGAGACAGCAGCUGGAAAACAGGGACAAAGGGCCUUCCUCCCCUCUCACUUUCAGGUUCCCUUUAGGACAUCCCAUUGACAGGAACUAAUGGAACCAGCUGGCAGUAGAUUCUGGGGAAUAGAGUUUGCAGACUCCCAGCUGCAGCAACACAAAGAGUGUGUGGAAGGGGGUGGAGAGUGGGGGUGGAGGGAGAUCUGUAGAGGCCAGGAGCCCUAAGAAAAUAGGUAAAUAAGGGAUACACUCCAGUAGCUGCUCUUAUGCAUACUUUGUUGCUUCUGUCAGCAGUGGGUCACUGUGGAGUGCUCAGGGUAUACAUCCACCAGAGUAAAUGUAUCCAUUCACUUGGUUGCUUCAAAUUCUUUGCUACCUGGAGAAAUUAAAAUCCCUGGAGCUGGGGUUCUGAGUAAAAACUAUGUUCCACCAAUUAGAUGCGCUCAUCUGAGGUUUGGGAGCCAAGGGGCAUCUUCCUGCUGCUUGGCUGUUGCUGCUGGAGAGCAGGUUUGUCUAGAUGUUGGGCGUUCUGCAGCAGCGUUCCCCUUGAGGCCAAGGACAAAGUAAGGAUUCCCACUGUAAUGGCUCAAGUUCAACAUGGGACGGAGGUUCAACAGGCAAAAUACAACUUACUCUGUGACACUAUAACAAAGUGUGGUUAAGAAAAAAAUGUACUGGGAGGAUAUCAGUUAAGUAAUUCACAGAACUCGUGAGAAGUCCGGGGAGUGAGGCUUAGAAAACAAACACGGACCAACUGCAAAACCUAAGGUCACACUUCAGAGAGUCUGGUUAGGAUGGCACUGCUGGCACCAUGGCUGCUGGACUUUUUUUGUGUUUUUUUGUUGCCACAUAGGUUGAUGCUGAGAAUUGAGUUAAUCCUCCUAAAUUUGUGGCCCUGUUUUGGAUUAGCCCAUGAAAGCCCUCUCUCCUGUUCUGUUAUUUGUUUCCUUUAUUAUUUGCUCUUUUUUCCUCACUCCCACAAUAUGUUUGUUGUGUGUCCCUAGAUACGUAUGUUAGCAACAUGCAUGGUUUUGGUGUAUAUAUGUUGUGGCAGGGACUUGGCAGCUGUUCCUCACACCCAUUUUCUUCUUCCUGGGAAAUUAGCUGGACUCUGUUUUCCAGCUCCCCUUAUACUUUCAUGUGGCUACGUGAUUGAAUUUGGCCAGUUGGAUGGUAGUGGAACUACGGUAUGCUACUUGCAUACUUGGGUCCUUAUAUUUUGCUACACAUUAGUCCCCAUGUCAAUCCACUUUGGCCAACUUGAUGCAUUUGCCCAUAUGACCUUGAAAGGUACAUGUCAAACAUGAUGGAGCCAAAAGAUGGAGGGAGCAUAGAUCCCUGAACAACACUUGGAGGAGAGCCACCUGUUUGGGACUUCACCUGAGUGAGAAGUCAUUUUCUUUAUAGAUGAACCAUUACACACUUGAGGGUUCGUUGUUACAGCAACUAUUGAUCUUUUUUAAAAUUAUUCUUAGUUGAACACAUUGGAAAAGUAAGCAAAACACAUACCCAUAUGGAAAAGUAAAUGAAACCAAAAUGUUUGACCCAUGGUUUUAUCAUAGGCCAGCCCCAUUGCAACCACCAUCCAAAUUGAGAAAGCCUCCGCCCCCAAAAACCUUUUAUGCUACCUCCCAAACAUCAACCACUUGUUUCUCUCAACCAUACAGAGUUACCACCAUCCUGACUCUCGUGACAAUUUCCUUGCAUUCCUUUGUGGUCUUACUGGUUAAGCAUUGUGAUAUUGUGAUUUAUAAUAAAGAAUACAUAUUUGGUCCUCCCAUUUCUAGCACAGAGCUUCUAAAACCCUUGGGGUUUCCUAAGUGAUGAGAGCUGGAACCGGUCUUUUGUUAGGUUAAUGAGAUGACUUUUGGAAUGCCCCCAAAUCACCUGGGAUUGAGGGGUUGCCCUGUGCAUCUUUUCCACCUGGACGUUCAGCUGUAUUCUUUACUAUGUCCUUUUAUAAUAAGCUGGCAAAUGUAAACAAACUUUUUCCAAGUUCUGUGACAACUUGGACUUGGGACUAGCAUUUGAAGUGCGGGAGGAGAGCAGUCAUGUAGGACUGAGCGCUGAGUCUGUGGAAUCUAAUGCUGUCUCAGGGCAGUUAGUGUUAGAAUUAAGAUGAGUUGUAGAACAUCCUGCUGGUGUCUCAGAGAAUUGUUUAUUGGUGUGGGGGCUUUCUCCCAUGGUGGAAUUGGGUGCUCAGACCCUUUUUAAAGCGUGUACACCUAAAUAGUAUGUAUUUUCAUGUGUCUGGCUUUUUCACUCAACAUUAAGUUUAUGGGACUCAUCCAUGUUGUCGCGUACAAAUGAAUUUCAUUCACUGUUAUUACUAUAGAAGUAUCCUGUUCUGUAAGUAAAUUACGAUUGUAAACCAUGAUUGAUUAAUUCAAUUGUUUAGGUAAAUUUGAGUUGUAUAUCAAUCAGAAUGGGCUGUGCCAUGCUGCAGGAAAUUAAAAUCCAGAAUGUUAAUGUCUUAACUCCACAGAAGAUAAUUUCUUACUAUUGCUAGAGGCAGGGACUGUUCAUAGUCACUCAGGAACCCUAGCUAAUGCAAUGCAUGCUUCCAAAAUCACUAGGAAAGAAAAGGGAACAAGGGAAAUCACUCCCUGGCACCCAAAGUUUCAGCCCUUUUUGCCCCUAUGUAAUUGGCCAAAACAAGUCUCCUUGUAGAGUUCUCCAUGUAGAACUCUGUAGUUGGUGAGAAAGUGUACUCCUAUUGUGUGCUCAGGGGGAAGACAAACAAGGUUGGUGAACUGCCUAACAUCCAGCUUGUGGUCCCUGCAAAUAAUGCUGUGAACAACCCAGAAGGUCUCUUACUAUGUUCAGGGGAAGUGAUGUUGGUGGAAGUCCUUAUCUCAUUCUUAAACUUGAAAGAAAAGCUUUCAGUAUUUCAUCAUUGGGUAUGAUAUUUGCAUUGAGGUUCUGAUUAGUGGUUAUCAGGUUAAUGAUAUGCUUUUCUGUUUGCUAUUAUUUUUAUCAUGAAUUGGACUUCGAAUUUUGUCAAAUACUGCUGAAUUGAGAUGAUCAUAUAUGUAUAUUUAAUUUUGUUCAGUGUAGCAAGUAAUAGAUUCAUUUUCAUGUGUGAAAUCAACUUUGAAUUUUUAGAAUAAAAUCACCUUAGUUGAUUAUUAUUCUCUUUA